GGUCCUGUGGCCCAAUGGAUAAGGCGCCUGACUACGAAUCAGGAGUUUCCAGGUUCGAGUCCUGGCAGGAUCG
rnacentral:tRNA from 1 species